rnacentral:rRNA from 1 species
UGGCGACCGGCGCACGGGUGAGUAACGCGUAUCCAACCUGCCCUUUACUAUGGGACAGCCCGUCGAAAGGCGGAUUAAUACCGUAUGCUGUCAUGUUGAUGCAUAUUUUCAUGACCAAAGGCUUCGGCCGGUAAAGGAUGGGGAUGCGUCUGAUUAGCUUGCCGGCGGGGUAACGGCCCACCGGGGCGACGAUCAGUAGGGGUUCUGAGAGGAAGGUCCCCCACAUUGGAACUGAGACACGGUCCAAACUCCUACGGAAGGCAGCAG